UUAUCUCACCCUUAUUUCUCUUGCCAAAACGACUUGAUAACACCCACAGACCAUGCAAAAUGUACACCUUCCAUAUCUCUCUCUCUCAAUUUAUUUUGGAUUUCUCUUUUUUUGCCCUUAAACAAACUUUCUCUCUACUCUACCUCUCACACACUCUCUCUAUAUAACCACUCUUUCACUCUCAUAACAACACACACGGUUUUGAAGGCAAAGGAAGUGAGAUCUAAAGUAAAAAUUCUCUCAAGCUAUUUUCUCACUAGAAGCUCUUUCUAUUUGAUUUUUUCUCCGGAUUUCUGGCUUCUCUCUUGUUCCUUGAAGAUCAUGAGAACAAGAUUGGUGGGUUUUCUGAAGAUUUAA